rnacentral:misc_RNA from 1 species
GCAUUGUUCGAUGAAAAGCUUCAUUUCUUAGUGUUUAGCUGCGUACAUUUUGCGUCUGGUAGUGCAGAGGGAGAAAUUGAUCAAAGCAUAGAGAACGGAGGAAAAGAAACUGAGGAGACAAAGCGCAGAGAAUUCCUGGACGAAGUCGACUGGGUCAGACCCAUGCAAGUCGGGAAUGAUCUCGAGCUUGAGAACUUGAUGUGAAGGCAAAGUCCAAGUCAGA